GACGAACGCUGGCGGCGUGCUUAACACAUGCAAGUCGAACGAUGAAACCGGGGCUUGCUCCGGUGGAUUAGUGGCGAGCGGGUGAGUAACACGUGAGUAACCUGCCCUUGACUCUGGGAUAACUGCGGGAAACUGUAGCUAAUACCGGAUACGACCCUCGGAGGCAUCUCCUGGGGGUGGAAAGAAUUUCGGUCAAGGAUGGACUCGCGGCCUAUCAGCUAGUUGGUGAGGUAAUGGCUCACCAAGGCGACGACGGGUAGCCGGCCUGAGAGGGUGACCGGCCACACUGGGACUGAGACACGGCCCAGACUCCUACGGGAGGCAGCAGUGGGGAAUAUUGCACAAUGGGCGCAAGCCUGAUGCAGCAACGCCGCGUGAGGGAUGACGGCCUUCGGGUUGUAAACCUCUUUUAGCAGGGAAGAAGCGAAAGUGACGGUACCUGCAGAAAAAGCACCGGCUAACUACGUGCCAGCCGCCGCAGUAA
rnacentral:rRNA from 1 species